CUCCACUUUUUGUUUGCUGAUUGUGUGCAAGUGUGCAGUCAGUUUUGCUGACGUUCAUACAUGAGAGAUUCUGAAACAUGGGAGUAAUUUGAUGCAUACGCUUUGCUUGCUACAGUAAAUUACAGCCUUUCCUUGCCCAGGAGCUGAGCUAUAGUUUUUCUUCUGUUUCACAGUGUGAUACGUUGCCUUAAUUGCACCAUCUAUUGUGACAUUUUUGAUGCUUUUCAUUUUUGUCUUUCAUUGUGGGUGCUCCAACACGAGUAAAUGACACUACAGCAUUCAGAAAGCUUGUCAGGCUGUGUUCAGGUCAGCACUUCGUCAGUGACUGCUGUGAAAAAUAGUCAAUGAACAUCAAAGUUGUAGGACCUUGAAAAGGCAGUCAGGAGGAGCAGCCUGGAAAUCUGCAGAACAGAAGCACCUAAAGAAAGCAGAUUUCAUAUUGAUUAGUCUCUUCCUUAAGUAUAGUGGACCCACCACAGGGAUGAAUGUCAUCUUUACAGAGGAAGAAAAAUAACAGGAAGAAUUACAUCGUGCGGCAGUUUUUCAUUGCGGUGAAUUUAAGGUGGCUGUCAGGCAGACACCGAGCCAAGCUGAUGGCUUUCUGCUUGCAGAGGGAACAGCUCACAGGUAGCCUUACAGAUUCAGCAGGUAAGUGAGUGUACUGGUUCCUGCUACUUCUGGAAGCAAGGUUACCCAGUAAAGCUGAUACCGUUCUGCCAGUUCUCUCAUAGCUGCAAGAUUGUCUACCAUGCUUUGAACUCAGGAAAUCUUGUUUUUGAAACAUGCAACUCAGCAGUCAUGGAAGAGAGAAAGCUGUGGAAGAGGAAUAGAGGAGGGCUGCCCACCUCCUCCUUCAGAUGGGAAAGUCCUCACAGUUGUUUUCCCGCCAACCACGUCUGAACAUUGGAAACUGCCCCAAGUUUCUGCGUGAGUUGAUGAGAAGAUGUGCUUUGGGCUGAUGCUAAUAAUUUUGAUUUCUGGGACUGGAAAUAAAGACAAAAAGGCACCUUAAUUCUAUCCACUAAAUCUUCUCAGAGGAAUUCUCUUGGCCUCUUCUGUUACAAGCAUCAUCCUUUGGUUUUCUCUUCAAAAGUAAGGACAUCAACUAUCCCAUGAAGGACAGCAGCACGGUGUUUUCUAGUAGAAGGAUGAGUAUAGCACAGCUGUCAGUCCUGCUGAAUUCUUAGUUUAUACAAUGCCAUUAGGCUGACUGUCAUCUCUUUUGUGUUAUUACUUGCAGCUAUUUUAUAUACUGGGAGUCGUCAUCCCGGGAGGCAUGAACAAGAAUCUGGUGACAGGAGCAUCAUGAAGUUCAAGACUUCAAAUGUGAAGUCCUGCACCCUGUAAAUAGUGACACCAUGCAACAGUACAAACUGGGGACAGGCUGACUAGAAACUAGCUUUACAUAAGAGGACCUAGAGGUCCUGAUGGACAUCGAGCUGAAUGUGAGUCAAGAAUGUGCCACUGCGUGAAUGAGAGCCAAGCACAAAAGACACUGGGCUGCAUUAGUAACAGCAGAGGCAGUGGGUUGAGAUAGCCAGCAGAGGUGAAUAUUGCACCCCUCUGAGGAGAAGAAAAUCCCCCAGGCAAGCAGAGAGCAAGAUUGACAUUUCUCAUUAUUUCUGUACUCCAGGUAAUAUAUAUAAACUUUUUUUUUUUUUUUCCCUGGGAGCCCUUCAAACCAAGCAAAUGAAGACAUUUCUUCUGUACAGUCAACGACACUCCAAAAGGUCUGAUCUGCUCUCUGAAAUUUCCCCUGAUUUUGCUGUGGCCCUCAGGCUGUAACUCAGUGAUCUCGGCACACAACGUGGCUAUCCCAAAAUCUCAAGUUUUGCUUUGACCAAGUAUUUACCAUAACGAAUAGAAACUAUUCCUUGAACAACAACGUCUUUUACCACUUGCAAAUCUCCAUCUAAUCUGACUGUCCUUAUCUAUAAGCGGAGAGAAUGAAAAGCAGAGAUAUAAAACCCAAAGGUUAAGUACAUAUUUUUUGCAACUGUUUAAUGUUCAGCAUUCUCAUGUUGUGAAGAACAUGCAAAGUUUCUGCAUUCUUUCUAUUGGGUGCAUUCGUCACCAAAGCAGACUUGCUAUCGGUUUGGGAUGUAAACUGACCUGUGUCACUGCAAUUUGCCUGUUUUCAUGUGUGUGUUUGGUUUGCUUUUGGCAUACAGGCACUUACGGCUGAUCCAAAGUCAUUCAAAAGCUCAGCAGAUGCUUCUGUGAAUCUCUUCUAUGUUUAGAAAUGGAAAUGAAGCACGAAACCAGGUGCUUUCUGUGCUGUCCUGAAUUAUGGAUUUUAUCCUUCAUGUUGUAACACAGUUUACUUGUCUUCUGGUUUAUCAUUUUUGAAGAAGGUAUGAGGUAAAAUACCAAGAUCUCCCUGACAGAGUCUUGUAGGACUCCAGGAACUGCUGUCUUCUGUACGGGUCCUCUCCAAUUCAACAGCACCCUUUCAGCUGACAUCAAAAGGGGAGAUCAGAAAAGAAGAUUUUCAGAGUCUCUUCCUCUAACUCUUGCAACUUACUCUUGGGAACUGGUAUUAUCAGGUGAGUAUGGACUGGAUGAUCUCCAGAGGUCCCUUCCAACCACUGCGAUUCUGUGAUUCUGAUUCUAAUCUCACAAAGAACAUGGGACUAAUAUUUCUAAGUUUAAGAAUCAGAGGGUUUUUUCAAACCAUUUUAGGAGGAGGCAAGAAACACUUUGGUUUAGCUUUCUGGUCUGAAAAUAUCAAUAGUUUGUUGCAUUUUUGAAAAGAGCCACAGGAAUCAUAGAUCAAAGAACCAUAGAACGGCUUGAGUUGGAAGAGACCACAAAGCCCACACAGCCCCAACCCUCUGCCAUGGGCAGGGCUGCCCCCCACCAGCUCAGGCUGCCCAGGACCCCAUCCAACCUGGCCCUGAGUGCCUCCAGGGAUGGGGCACCCACAGCUUCUCUGGGCAGCUGUGCCAGGGCCUCACCGCCCUCUGAGUAAAGAUUUUCUGCCUAACAUCUAACCCAAAUCUCCCCACUUUUAGUUUAAAGCCAUUUUCCCUUGUCCUAUCGCUAUUAGACUGUGUGAGAUGUUGGUUCUCCUCCUGUUUAUAAACUCCUCUCAAGUACUGGAAGGCCACAGAGAGGUGUCCCCGGAGCCUUCUCUUCUCCAGGCUGAACAAGCCCAGCUCCCUCAGCCUUUCUUCACAGGAGAGGUGCUCCAGCCCUCUGAGCAUCUUCGUGGCCCUCAUCUAGACAUUCUCCAACAGCUCCACAUCUUUCUUGUGCUGGAGGCCCCAGGUCUGAAUGCAGUACUGGGCCUCAUGAAGGCAGAGCAGAGGGGAAUAAUCACCUUCCUCUCCCUGCUGGCCACCCCUCUGUUGAUGCUGACCAGGAUAUUGUUGGCCUUCUGGGCUGCAAGAGCACACUGGUGGCUCAUGUCAAGCCUUUUAUCUAUCAGAGACUGCGGGUCCUCCUCCGCAGGGCUGCCCUCAAUGAGUUCUUCUCCCAGUCUGUACAUGUAUCAGGAAUUACCCUGACCUGAGUGCAACACUUUGGUCAAGCCAUUGCUCUCAUGGCUACAGGUUUGUUGUUUAGACACAAUAAUGUACAGAUGGGCUUUGCAUUUAUCAAGAAUAAUCACCAGCUGAGAUGCUGAGUGGAGGAAAACUAUUAUCGUCGUGACUGAACAGAGUCUGGCAGCAUUCUUUGUUGUUUGUGGCUUAUUCUUGAAAUUAGAUUUCAGAGACUAAACUGACCUCUCUGUAAGCUGAGCUCAGAAGAUGAAGGCCAAUAAUGGGAGAAGGAGCACAUCUCAAGGCAAAAGGUUUAACCGUCUGCCUCUUGGUAACCUGCAGGAAAUCCACCAAACAUCAUUUCAUUUGCAGCGAUUAAAGGUGAACAAUAUAGCUCUGUGUAGGAUUUCUUGUAUUUGAGACACAUUUAGUUAAUUAUUACCUCUUCAUUUAUUUUCUACUCUAGAAUAAGUCUUGCUGUGGGAAGCGGGGUGUAGGAAACACGAGGUGGUGCUUUUCAGCGACAAACCUUCAACUAUGGCAUUGUUUUUCAUACUUGCAAUAUUCAGCCACAGUAUCCACAAGGGAGGUACCACAAUUGCAAAAUGCUAUUUAAAAUAAUGGCGUGUUUUAGAAGAGCUUCCAAUGUCUCUCAUAAUAUUUGCAGAUAAUCUCAGUUUGCCAAUCUGUGAAGUAAUUAUUCUCCAUCUGUGAUAUCCAGUGAUAACCAGUUAGACUUUCAAAUUCAUUUUUACCAACAUUGGUGAGCUCAUCACUCGCCUGUUGAAAGAACAGAACACAAACAUUAAAACAGUGUAAAGGCAAUGUAUUUAUUAUUGUAGCAUGCAGUCAAACCUGCAUAAUAACUACUAAUUAAAGUGUUAAGGCCUUAAUUUUAGAAAGACAGAGAGGCUUUCUGCUUUUGUACAGUACCAUACACACAUCAUUUUUAUGCUUUGCUUUCUGUGAUUAGUGACCAAGGCCUGGCAUGAGACAAUUUUACUUAAUCAGCUAUAUGCAUUAAAUACCAGCAGCUGCAAUUAGACAUUCUUUUGUAUCACAUACUACGCCUCACGCUGCUAUUUGCUCCUGACCUUGGCAGGCACUUCUGCUGUGUUUGGAGAGGAGCACAGUGAAAUUCAGAAUUCUUUUUUUCACAGCCUGGAUGUUGGCAGAUGUGCACACACAUUCUUGCCCCACAGACCAAACAGAGCAACUUCAGAAGUGCAGCAGGAGUUCCUUUAAAACAGACUGGGAAGGAAAGCAGAUUCUCAGGAGUGCAGAUGACUACUGAAGAAGCAAGGACCUCUAAGGAGGGUCCACUUCAGCCCACCUCCAGUCUGAGGGUCAUUUAGACAUAUGGAACAACGCAGAGAGAAAAGGGAGCACUGAAAAGCUGCUCCAGUAAUUCCCAGCUGCCUCUUCCCCACUCUACUUCCUCCUGAUGCUGCCCUUUUCAAUUGGCCACUGAACUGGGGUUUCAAAUUAUUUCUCUCGAGAAGCUGUACAGAGUUUUAUUGCUUUGAUUCUAACUGAUCUAUUGGCUGCCUGCGCAUUUCUCAGCCACUUUCUGAAAACAGCAGCUGGUACAGAUGAUGUUUGCAGGUGAAAAGUGGAGCUGCCUAAUAGCUUUCCAGCUGAUAUAGCACCAGCACUGGAUUAGGUCAUUGUAAUGGCAGCUGAAAACUUUGCUUUAACACAGCUUGAGCAGCUCGGUACACCUUGGUUUAGUGAGAAGAAGCAGUGUCCAGCGUGGCUGGUUGAUGUACUGCUGUAUCUCAAGUGUUUGUCCAACACGAGCACCAGAAAGUUGAGCACAGUGAAAUAAAACCAGAUCUGCUUGCGAAAACAAAAUGGAAAAAAGUCACCUGAAAGAAAAAUCCAUAUUCCUUUCUCAGUAGCUUUUAUGAAAACUUUUUCCUUCCUCAAAUUACAGUGACUCCAUGUGGCUUACUCCACAAUGCAGAUUUUAAUAUAUUUUUACUAAAAUUUAUUCCAGCUGUUGCUAAUCAUAGAGAUAUGAAUAAUAUUAUUAUACAGAGAAAAAUCUUGACUAGACUUGGUGCAGAUUUAUUCAUUUGUAAUUUUUCCAUCUUAAAUCCAAAUAUUAAAAGCCAGAUGAAAGGAAGGAAAGGUAAUUGUAACCGCUGGCUUCUACUUCACCAUGAUGAAAUUGAGCUUGCUCAGUAAUCAAAGAAUAAGCGUAGAGAUUUUUAUCAGAGUAUCUGAUUUUAUCAGACCAUUUGCAGGGACUGCAAUUCAAUAGAAACCGGGGAUGCCAGAUCUUUCGUAUAAAUCACUUUUGGGAGAGGACUGCUGCUGAGCUCCAGCUCAGACAUGCCCAGAAAAAAAUCAACCAACUGAAGUUGAAUAGGGAACACACUGGGGGUCUUCAAACUCUGUCAUUAUUGCAGCAUGUAAACUUCUAGGAGGCCAUUACAUUGAGAAAUGUGCUGCCAGCUCUGAAGGCUGAGUCCAGUCAUAGAAUCAUAGAAUGGUUUGGGUUGGAAGGGACCUUAAAUAUCAUCCAGUUCCAACCCUCUGCUAUGGGCAGGGACACCUCCCUCUAGACCAGGUUGCUCAAAGUCCCAUCCAGCCUGGCCUUGAAUGCUUCCAGGGAGGGGGCAUUCACAACCUUUCUGGGCAACCUGUUCCAGUGUCUCACCACACUCACAGUAAAUAACUGCUUCCUGAUAUCUAGUCUAAGUCUACUGAUUCAGUUCAGUCCUUGGUCGAAAAUGCAUCCUUCACCUCACCAAAGUCAGAUUCUUUUUCACAACCCAGUGCCUCCGUACAGUGGUGUUAUGAAUUCCAUCCACUAAGUAUGGAUCUGCGUUCUGUGUCCAAACCUAUUUCUUAUGCCGCAUUUACUUCCAGUGCCCAACCAUACAGAAAUUUACCCAUGCCUUUGCACAGCAGGAAGCAUAUGGUGCCUGAGUUACUCAAGUCCAUUUCUCAGGAAAGCAGUCCUUUAAAAACAACUUCUGUCCAUCAAGGCCCCCUCUUCAAACAGCCUCACAUUCAUGCUGUUCUGCUUGUGGUAAGAAUCAGUGUUCCAGCUACAGCAAAAAUGCAGUUUGCACUGUAAGAGGAGGAAAUAAAUGUCGGGUCAUCUAAGAGUCCUUCAUUCACUCAGCCAAAAAUGAGACUACCCUGAUUUCCCUUUUUCAUUUUUGUGGUACUGAGUCAUGAGUUGAUUUCUUUGGGAAAAAAAAGAGAAGAAAAUCUAAAACUGUCUUGUAGUUAAUCAGUAUUAGAUAGAUGGCUAAGUGACAGCUCAUAUGACUCAGGCCCUUUAGGCUGCACUUAUCCCUUGCUCUCAUGCUAUAAAACACGCUUUUCCAG
ensembl:lncRNA